UACGGAGGGGGCGAGCGUUGUUCGGAUUUACUGGGCGUAAAGCGUGUCUAGGUGGAUAUGUAAGUCAGGUGUGAAAGCCCCCGGCUCAACUGGGGAGGGUCGCCUGAUACUGUAUGUCUUGAGUACCGGAGAGGUGGGUGGAAUUCCCAGUGUAGAGGUGAAAUUCGUAGAUAUUGGGAGGAACACCGGAGGCGAAAGCGACUCACUAAUCGGUCACUGACACUCAAGCACGAAAGCGUGGGUAGCAAACAGG
rnacentral:rRNA from 1 species